UUUAUUAAUAAAAUUUUAUCUAAAUAUAUCCAUGUGAGAUGUUGUUUUGAAGGAUUUAUUAUAAGAAACACUAUAGUGUAAUCGGAUUUUGAUUUAGAUAUUUAGUUUAGCAGCUAUGGCUUUUUAAAUUUUGUUGAUGAAAGUGGAGAAUAUAAUGAUGAGGUGGGCCCUGUAGGAUGGACAGCCUCUCUGCCAACCGCUAGCUAUGAGACUCUGAUCCUAUAGAAUAGACAGACUUUAUUCUAGUUUGUGCAUGCAUGUCUUAUCUAAAGAUGGCAAUGGGUACCCGACACACGAAACCUGAUGAGUUUUUCUCUAUUAGGGUAAGGAUAUGGGUCAACUUCGCUACCCGUGGGUUUGUUAAUGGGGCAAAAGCUAGACCCAGCGGGUUUAUGGGUAUGGGUCUAGGUGUGUAGUACCCAAACCCGCAAACCCAUGGGUUUUUAAAACCGGUUCACCAUAUCAUCAUACAAUAUAAUUAGUAUAUAAAGUACAAAAUGCAAGAAAAAUAAACGAAAUAGAGAACAUGCAUGCUCCAUACUUUUUUUUAGUAGAAGCUCCUUAUGUGAAAGUUGCAAAUCUCAUCGUUUCUUUUCUUUAAUUUCUUUCCUUUUUUCUUUCUUUUUUUUUCAUUUUAUAUUCCAUUUGAUUCUUUUUCUAUCUGUGUUGUGCUUUAUUUUUAUUUGCAUUUUUUGUUUUAUAUUAUCCUUUGUUCUGUAUAUAUUAUCUUUUUUGUUAUUGUCAUUAUUUUCAUUUUUUGUUUUAUAUUAACCUGUGUUUUGUAUAUUUUAUCUUUUUUCAUAUUGUUAUUAUUUUCUUUGAUGGUCACGUGCUGAUGUUCUAUUUUUUAUUUUUUUUCUUUUGAUUUUGUUUUUUCUUUUAAUUUUUAAUUAUGUUUUCUUUUAUUCAUGUUUUAUUUCUUAAUCUUUCUUUGUUAUUAAUCUUUUUUUUUAUCAUAUGCGAUGUUCUAUAAUACAUUAAGUGUUGUUUUAUGGUUAAUUCAGCGAUGUUCACUUAGUAUACAUACAAUGUUCUAUAAUGUAUUGAGUGAUGUUCUAUUGUGAAUUUAGUGAUGUUCGCUUAGUACACAUGUGGUGUUGUAUGAUAUAUCUAGUGAUGUUCACGUAAUAUAUAUACGAUGUUCCAUAAUGUAUUUAAUAGUGUUCUAUAGUGUAUUUAGUGAUGUUCAGUUUAGUACACAUGUGAUGUUUUAUAGUUUAUUUUUAGGAUAUUUUAAAACUAUCCAUAUGAUGUUCUUUUAAAUUUUUCUCUAUUACGUAUUUUUUUUCUUAUGCUUUGCUCUAGAUUUUAUUUUUUUGUUUACAUGAUGUAUUUAUUUAUUUUAAAUAUUAUAAUAUCAGUUUCAUGAAUCUAAACUAGAACACUAUUUUUUAAAGUGAGAACAUUUUUCUUACAAAGAUGGAACAUUUAUUUUCUGAACCUAGAACAUUGUCUAUCAUAAAUAAAAAUGUUAUAUCUUUAUAAGAUAAAUGUUUAUUAAUAAAAUUUUAUCUAAAUAUAUCCAUGUGAGAUGUUGUUUUGAAGGAUUUAUUAUAAGAAACACUAUAGUGUAAUCAGAUUUUAAUUUAGAUAUUUAGUUUAGGAGCUAUGACUUUUUAAAUUUUGUUGAUGAAAGUGGAGAAUAUAAUGAUGAGGUGGGCCCUGUAGGAUGGACAGCCUCUCUGCCAACCGCUAGCUAUGAGACUCUGAUCCUAUAGAAUAGACAGACUUUAUUCUAGUUUGUGCAUGCAUGUCUUAUCUAAAGAUGGCAAUGGGUACCCGACACACGAAACCUGAUGAGUUUUUCUCUAUUAGGGUAAGGAUAUGGGUCAACUUCGCUACCCGUGGGUUUGUUAAUGGGGCAAAAGCUAGACCCAGCGGGUUUAUGGGUAUGGGUCUAGGUGUGUAGUACCCAAACCCGCAAACCCAUGGGUUUUUUAAAACCGGUUCACCAUAUCAUCACACAAUAUAAUUAGUACAUAAAGUACAAAAUGCAAGAAAAUAAACGAAAUAGAGAACAUGCAUGCUCCAUACUUUUUCUAGUAGAAGAAAGUUGCAAAUCUCAUCGUUUCUUUUCUUUUAUUUCUUUCCUUUUUUUCUUUCUUUUUUCAUUUUAUAUUCCAUUUGAUUCUUUUUCUAUCUUUUUUGUACUUUAUUUUUAUUUCCAUGUUUUGUUUUAUAUUCCAUUUGAUUCUUUUUCUAUCUUUUUUGUGCUUUAUUUUUAUUUUCAUUUUUUGUUUUAUAUUAUCCUGUGUUCUGUAUAUUUUAUCUUUUUUCUUAUUGUUAUUAUUUUCUUUGAUGUUCACGUGUUGAUGUUCUAUUUUUUAUUUUUUCUUUUGAUUUUGUUUUUUCUUUUAAUUUUUAAUUAUGUUUUCUUUUAUUCAUGUUUUAUUUCUUAAUCUUUCUUUGUUAUUAAUCUUUUUUUGCAUCAUAUUACAUUAAGUGUUGUUUUAUGGUUAAUUCAGCGAUGUUCACUUAGUAUACAUACAAUGUUCUAUAAUGUAUUGAGUGAUGUUCUAUUGUGAAUUUUAGUGAUGUUCGCUUAGUACACAUGUGGUGUUGUAUGAUAUAUCUAGUGAUGUUUACGUAAUAUAUAUACGAUGUUCCAUAAUGUAUUUAAUAGUGUUCUAUAGUGUAUUUAGUGAUGUUCAGUUUAGUACACAUGUGUUGUUUUAUAGUUUAUUUUUAGGAUGUUUUAAAACUAUCCAUAUGAUGUUCUUUUAAAUUUUUCUCUAUUACGUAUUUUUUUUCUUAUGCUUUGCUCUAGAUUUUAUUUUUUUGUUUACAUGAUGUAUUUAUUUAUUUAUUUAUUUUAAAUAUUAUAAUAUCAGUUUUAUGAAUCUAAAAUAGAACACUAUUUUUUAAAGUGAGAACAUUUUUCUUACGAAGAUGGAACAUUUAUUUUGUGAACCUAGAACAUUGUCUAUCAUAAAUAAAAAUGUUAUAUCAUUAUAAGAUAAAUGUUUAUUAAUAAAAUUUUAUUUAAAUAUAUCCAUGUGAGAUGUUGUUUUGAAGGAUUUAUUAUAAGAAACACUAUAGUGUAAUCGGAUUUUGAUUUAGAUAUUUAGUUUAGGAGCUAUGACUUUUUAAAUUUUGUUGAUGAAAGUAGAGAAUAUAUGGAUGAGGUGGGCCCUGUAGGAUGGACAGCCUCUCUGCCAACCGCUAGCUAUGAGACUCUGAUCCUAUAGAAUAGACAGACUUUAUUCUAGUUUGUGCAUGCAUGUCUUAUCUAAAGAUGGCAAUGGGUACCCGACACCCGAAACAUGAUGAGUUUUUGCUCUAUUAGGGUAAGGAUAUGGGUUGUCACACCUAAUUUCAAGGAAGAAAUUGAAUGCAUAAACUUAUGUGCGCCCAGAGAUCAAUCACACACACAAGUCACAAAUUAAAUACCAUCAUCGCAGUGUUUACAACAAACGUAGUUAUUACAUCACAAAGUCUGGCACGACAGCGAAAAUAUAAAUAUGAUAAUCUAAGAUAACUAUCUCAUGGCCUUCACACAGGGAAGGUCGACUGGUGAAGCACAAGCCUAAUAGUCCUCCGGGUAGUCCUCAUAGCUACCACCAUCUGUUACCCAUCCAGGAUUUUUAUCCAAAAAAAAAUAUACAAGCAUGAGUACAUCUCGUACUCCACAAGCAUAGCAUGAGGAUUUAUGAGGCUCAAACAAGCUAGACUAGGUUUACUGCAUCAGCUUUUUAGUAGGUCAGUGUUUUAUCAUUAAUUAUUUUAGUUUAUGCUUAAGCUCCCAAAUAUCCCAUAUGAUCAGUUAUUAGAACCAUAGUAAGUCAAUAAGUCACAUUAAAGCAUAAUUAUACAUCAUCAUGUACCAUAUAGCCAUCAGUAACCAGUUAUUCUGUGAGUUUUCCGAGCCGCUCGUGACCGUGAGCACGACUGUUAUAACAGUUAUACACUCUGCAGAGGUUGUGCACUUUCACCGUGAGUCGUGUUGCCCAUAUGCCCAGGAUCCGUCGACCCUCAAACACUACCAAGGUGAGCGGGUAGGGUACACUAUGAAGCCUUCCAUAGGCCUAUUCUAACCAGUUAGGGCCGCGAGGUUUCCUCGGCAGGCAGAUGUAGAAAACCCCCCUUUUCUAUGGCACAUUUCCAUCGCGGCUAUACUUAUAGAAACAGGGGCAGCACUACACCCAAAGUGGCAAGCCCCUCUUGCGCCCUUUCGGGUAACCUCUAACGAGUUAGAAAAGAUCCUAUUACUGAGCUAAAGUCAGAGCCAUGUGACUCUGCCGGUUGCACUGUAAGUCCCAGCUUUUGCCGACAGAUAAGUCCUUACGGAGGGUCUAGGACAACAUGACCAACGGUCAUUUGUACCAUAGCCCUAUGUUCCAUUUAUCAUAAUCAUAUUUAAUCAAUUAACCAUGGUUCCAUCACUGAUUUCAGAUCAUAUAUAAUUGGAGUUAGAGCACUAGCACUUCUACCCAUAUGC
rnacentral:lncRNA from 1 species